rnacentral:rRNA from 1 species
CCUACGGGUGGCAGCAGUCGAGAAUCAUUCACAAUGGGGGAAACCCUGAUGGUGCGACGCCGCGUGGGGGAAUGAAGGUCUUCGGAUUGUAAACCCCUGUCAUGUGGGAGCAAAUUAAAAAGAUAGUACCACAAGAGGAAGAGACGGCUAACUCUGUGCCAGCAGCCGCGGUAAUACAGAGGUCUCAAGCGUUGUUCGGAACCACUGGGCGUAAGGCGUGCGUAGGCUGUUUCGUAAGUCGUGUGUGAAAGGCGCGGGCUCAACCCGCGGACGGCACAUGAUACUGCGAGACUAGAGUAAUGGAGGGGGAACCGGAAUUCUCGGUGUAGCAGUGAAAUGCGUAGAUAUCGAGAGGAACACUCGUGGCGAAGGCGGGUUCCUGGACAUUAACUGACGCUGAGGCACGAAGGCCAGGGGAGCGAAAGGGAUUAGAUACCCCUGUAGUC